GCCGGGUGUGGUGGCACACGCCCAUAAUCCCAGCAGCUCGGGAGGCUGAGGCAGGAGGAUCAUGAGUUCAAAAACAGCCUCAGUAAGGGUGAGGCACUGAGCAACUCAGUGAGACCCUGUCUCUA
rnacentral:sRNA from 1 species